AAAACAGGAUGAUGAAAACGUUGAGGCUGAGGGUAGGUGGUGCAAGAUUGUAAAAUGAAGAGAACACAGAACUUCCGGUAAAUAAACCACCACUUCUGUAGACUUCUUGGUAAUCAUGCUUGUGUGAGAGAGAGAACAAAUCCAGAUGAAGAAACCAUAUUAAUCAUAUUAAUCGUAUUCAUUGUAUUAAUUUGGUUCUUCAUCUUAGAUGUGUAAGUAUAUUUUUGAUUUUUUUAAUAAUUUUUUACAUGUAAUUUUCAAAAGUAAAAUUUAGAAAAAAUAAAAAGAUGAUUGGUAUGAAGUUCCAUACAAAUCACACUAUAUAUAUAAAACAUAUUUUUUGUUUUAAAUUUAUAAAUGUUUUCUUUAUUAUAUAUAUGUUAUUUGAAAAUUUUAUAAAAGGAAACUUAAAUUAUAAAACAAAAAA
rnacentral:lncRNA from 1 species